AUGAUUCAUUAAGAUUUGUAGGGUUGUUUGCAUAUUCCCAAGUUAUUAAAAUAGAUCACAGCAGAUAGUCCAAACACUACAUUAGAAAUUAAUUUCCUUUUACUGGACUUUCAACAGAAUGCAGAAAAUGACUGGAAGAUCUGUGGUUUUUCUUCCGAGAUGUACAGUCAGCCAGUGUGACUGCCCAUGCUGAGCCCAGAAAAUAAAUCUCUCAGCAGCCUCAGUAGGAAUGGGAUCAGCGAAUAAUUUCCCCAUUUUUUCUACAGGAAGCCUGAGAUCUUGCUGAUACAGUGAGCACCCUCCAAGAAGUACCUCUAUUUCUGCAUUUGCAUCUUCUCCCAGUGGAUUUCCCUUACGAAUUAUGAUUUUCAUUAUUCAUUGCCACAACAGACUAUUAAAGAGGCAUCUCCACCCAGCUAAAUGCAAGAUUUUGUCUCCAGGCAUAAUAAUAUCUCUGGGAGCUGUUCAGCUCUAGUAAGUAUUUAAACAUAUAUUUAAAUUUAAGAAUGCAAGUUGUCCCCUGACAACAGUCAGAAUUCUGUUUAAAAGUAAAUCACAGACUUUGUUUUCUUUUACUCAAUACAGCAUAGUUGCUAUGGCAAUAAUCAGUAGCAGAGCACUUGUGGUGAAAGGCAGAUUGUUUUGAUUGUCGUGUGAAGAUUCACACCUCCAGAAUUCAAUUCUUUUACUAGCUGCUGCUGUUCCUCCUGCUGGCUCAACAGACUGCAGUGAGUCUUUAUUAGCUCUGAUAAGCAGCACCAAGACAGUAAUUGUCCCACUUGCUCUGGAAAGAUAACUUACCACUGAAGAAUUAACAAGGCCUUCACUCCCUGUACAAACACCCCAAAGAUGAUACUACAGAACAGGUGUUUAAUGUACAACAUUCUUCCUUUUCCUUGGAAAGGAAAGCUUUUAAUUCACUUCCUCUAUAAAGAACACCUGAUGGACUCUAUUACGCAAAUGCUAAUCACGAUCAAAGCACUUCUAAGAAGGGAUAUCCAAUCCCUGAUCAUAAAUCUGUAGUCUCCUUGUGUGUGCACAGUAUGUAUUCAAUCUUUAUCAGAGUUUUAUGGAGCAAAGAACAAAUAUAGUACCAAGUUGUCCACCAAGAACAGAAGAACAUCCCCAACUAGUCAGACGGAAAAAUAGAUAUGUGGGAAAGAAUAAAUGAAAAAAUAUCAAAGCAGAGAGAUUAGCAAGACAGAAGUUGCUGUUUAGCCUUAAGGUCACAGGCAAGAUCAUAACAAUUUUUGAAACUAUUUGCUAUGUUGAAGAACCUGAGACCUUUUAAACUACCUUGCUUUUAUAAGGUGCUCUCAAGGCUGAGCUAAUUUUUGGGAAUUUUAGGAGGAAAACUUAGUUCCCCAACAGUGUCCUCAUGACUCAGUUGAAGCACAGUUGGACUUUUGCAACUUUCAGAUAUUCCUUCCUCCCUUUCAGUGAUAUAAAAAAGUCAGAUGUCCUUCCUUGAGGUCACUGUAGGAUAAUUAAGGAUCCAGUGUCUUGCUACCACCUGCCACAAAGGCUCAUGGUCUUUAAAUGCAAUCUGAAUACAAGCUGCUACAAAAGACAACAUCCCCACAAAUAGUGAGGUCCCAAGGGUGUCCUGGGAUUAAGGAGGCUCUGAUGCUCUGUUUCAAAGGUAAAGCACACACAACAUCCCUGAAAUUCAACGCAAAUGCUUCUCUGAUAGCAAGAAAUGCACACUAAGCCUUUGAGAUUAUAGCUG